AGAUUGAACGCUGGCGGCAGGCCUAACACAUGCAAGUCGAGCGGUAGAGAGGUGCUUGCACCUCUUGAGAGCGGCGGACGGGUGAGUAAUGCCUAGGAAUCUGCCUAGUGGUGGGGGAUAGCGUUCGGAAACGGACGCUAAUACCGCAUACGUCCUACGGGAGAAAGCGGGGGACCUUCGGGCCUCGCGCCAUUAGAUGAGCCUAGGUCGGAUUAGCUAGUUGGUGAGGUAAUGGCUCACCAAGGCGACGAUCCGUAACUGGUCUGAGAGGAUGAUCAGUCACACUGGAACUGAGACACGGUCCAGACUCCUACGGGAGGCAGCAGUGGGAAUAUUGGACAAUGGGCGAAAGCCUGAUCCAGCCAUGCCGCGUGUGUGAAGAAGUCUUCGGAUUAGUAAAGCAACGUUUAAGUUGGAGGAAGGUUAGUAACUUUAAAUACGUUGACUAAUUUGUACGUUACCGACAAGAAUAAGCACCGGACUAACUUCGACGCCAGCAGCCGUA
rnacentral:rRNA from 1 species